GUCCUCGUAGCUUAUAAAAAGCAUAGCACUGAAGAUGCUAAGAUGGCCCAUCACUGAACCCAAGGACA
rnacentral:tRNA from 1 species